rnacentral:rRNA from 1 species
ACGAGUGGCGGACGGGUGAGUAACACGUGGGUAACCUGCCCUUAAGUGGGGGAUAACAUUUGGAAACAGAUGCUAAUACCGCAUAGAUCCAAGAACCGCAUGGUUCUUGGCUGAAAGAUGGCGUAAGCUAUCGCUUUUGGAUGGACCCGCGGCGUAUUAGCUAGUUGGUGAGGUAAUGGCUCACCAAGGCGAUGAUACGUAGCCGAACUGAGAGGUUGAUCGGCCACAUUGGGACUGAGACACGGCCCAAACUCCUACGGGAGGCAGCAGUAGGGAAUCUUCCACAAUGGACGCAAGUCUGAUGGAGCAACGCCGCGUGAGUGAAGAAGGCUUUCGGGUCGUAAAACUCUGUUGUUGGAGAAGAAUGGUCGGCAGAGUAACUGUUGUCGGCGUGACGGUAUCCAACCAGAAAGCCACGGCUAACUACGUGCCAGCAGCCGCGGUAAUACGUAGGUGGCAAGCGUUAUCCGGAUUUAUUGGGCGUAAAGCGAGCGCAGGCGGUUUUUUAAGUCUGAUGUGAAAGCCCUCGGCUUAACCGAGGAAGCGCAUCGGAAACUGGGAAACUUGAGUGCAGAAGAGGACAGUGGAACUCCAUGUGUAGCGGUGAAAUGCGUAGAUAUAUGGAAGAACACCAGUGGCGAAGGCGGCUGUCUGGUCUGUAACUGACGCUGAGGCUCGAAAGCAUGGGUAGCGAACAGGAUUAGAUACCCUGGUAGUCCAUGCCGUAAACGAUGAAUGCUAGGUGUUGGAGGGUUUCCGCCCUUCAGUGCCGCAGCUAACGCAUUAAGCAUUCCGCCUGGGGAGUACGACCGCAAGGUUGAAACUCAAAGGAAUUGACGGGGGCCCGCACAAGCGGUGGAGCAUGUGGUUUAAUUCGAAGCAACGCGAAGAACCUUACCAGGUCUUGACAUCUUUUGAUCACCUGAGAGAUCAGGUUUCCCCUUCGGGGGCAAAAUGACAGGUGGUGCAUGGUUGUCGUCAGCUCGUGUCGUGAGAUGUUGGGUUAAGUCCCGCAACGAGCGCAACCCUUAUGACUAGUUGCCAGCAUUUAGUUGGGCACUCUAGUAAGACUGCCGGUGACAAACCGGAGGAAGGUGGGGAUGACGUCAAAUCAUCAUGCCCCUUAUGACCUGGGCUACACACGUGCUACAAUGGAUGGUACAACGAGUUGCGAGACCGCGAGGUCAAGCUAAUCUCUUAAAGCCAUUCUCAGUUCGGACUGUAGGCUGCAACUCGCCUACACGAAGUCGGAAUCGCUAGUAAUCGCGGAUCAGCACGCCGCGGUGAAUACGUUCCCGGGCCUUGUACACACCGCCCGUCACACCAUGAGAGUUUGUAACACCCGAAGCCGGUGGCGUAACCCUUUUAGGGAGCGAGCCGUCUAAGGUGGGACAAAUGAUUAGGGUGAAGUCGUAACAAGGAAGCC